GACGAACGCUGGCGGCGUGCUUAGCACAUGCAGGUCGAACGGAAAGGCCCUGCUUUUGUGGGGUGCUCGAGUGGCGAACGGGUGAGUAACACGUGAGUAACCUGCCCUUGACUUUGGGAUAACUUCAGGAAACUGGGGCUAAUACCGGAUAGGAGCUCCUGCUGCAUGGUGGGGGUUGGAAAGUUUCGGCGGUUGGGGAUGGACUCGCGGCUUAUCAGCUUGUUGGUGGGGUAGUGGCUUACCAAGGCUUUGACGGGUAGCCGGCCUGAGAGGGUGACCGGCCACAUUGGGACUGAGAUACGGCCCAGACUCCUACGGGAGGCAGCAGUGGGGAAUAUUGCACAAUGGGCGGAAGCCUGAUGCAGCAACGCCGCGUGCGGGAUGACGGCCUUCGGGUUGUAAACCGCUUUCGCCUGUGACGAAGCGUGAGUGACGGUAAUGGGUAAAGAAGCACCGGCUAACUACGUG
rnacentral:rRNA from 1 species